rnacentral:lncRNA from 1 species
GCCUGGGGCUGGGACGUGCGCAUGCGCCUGGCUGGGGUGCUCUCUGUCAGCCCAGGGGUGGGGGGGUCCCCGGGCUGUUGGGGCAUGAUGGGAAAGGCCACGUGCUGGGGGAGCGCAGGGGAGGUGCCUGGUCCCACCCAGGACAGGCAGCAUCUUCCCAGGGCGAGUUCUGUCUCAGGUGGGACGUCCUGAGUCCGGACGAGCGAGUCGGUGCCGCAGGAGUAAACAAGUUCAAACCUGAGUGUCGCCACACACGGAGAUCUGGUCUUCACUCUGCCACGGUCCAGCGAGGGUCUUCCAGCUGAGUGUCCUCCGGUGGGGACGCAGAGAUCCAGAGCGAGGGGCUGCAGAGAGCCAGGCAGAAGCCACGAUGCCUCUUACGACGUGGCCUUGGGAGUCACACUCCGUCAUUUCCACAGCAUCCCACUGGGCACAAGGGGACACGAUGGGUGUGCAGGCCUCAGAAGGCAUCUUUCUCUGACGUAUGCCGCUCGGAAGCGUGAUGGGGACUUGGGGAGAAGGGGACCAGGUGAAUGACAGCACUUCUGGCUGUGGCAGCAAGAACUGGAUGUUGGCAUCAGACGGAUCUGAAAUGUGUUCCCUGGGUGUGACCUCGAGAGAAAGAAUACAGCCGCGUGUGUCAAGGGGCCUGGCGCACGGCAGAGCUCAGUUCAGCCUCUGCCACAACCCGGCCCGGGCAGCAGGACAGGCAGGUGACUUGGCCAGACGCAUCGUCCGGGGGGGGGAACACGGGCGUCCUGGUCCCAACGCGGGCAGUGAGCAAGCAAGGGCUCUUUUAUUCCCACACACCACACUAGCCAGACUAGCCGCUCCCUCCGGAGGUGCUUAGGAGACACGGCCAACCGUGCUUGUGGUUGUUGGAACGCUCCGUAAUGAGAAAUAAUCUGGACAAAUAUUUCACGCCUCUUUUUUCACAUUCCAGUGGGAAAACAACGCGGAAUGUGGAGCGCUCCUGCCCAGGACAGCCGACAAAGGCCGCGGCCGCUCCUUUAUCUCCGCUGCAAGUUCUGUUUCCCUUUUAUCAAAAAGGUGUUAUCAGGGCUUCAUAAAUAAGGGAGAAAUGGGCGACUGAAAACGGGCAGGGGACGGGGCUGGUCAGACAAAAGGAGGCCGGCAUGAAUGAAAAACGGCAAAAGACAACAUUUUUCGUUAAUUUGGCGUUCAGCAAUCACGGUAACCUUUCACCCUGAGUGCGAUCGGACACAAUUAGGCGUCGUGGGCUUUUUAGGACAAUUCAUUACAGCAAUAAUGCGUGUUACCCACUGUGGGCAUUUCGUCGUCACGGCGGCUCAGCCGAGCGGGGCUGGUGUCACUCGGCUCGCUCUGAGUCACCAACAAGUGCUUACCUCGUCCAGGGUCAUGCAGCUAAUAAACAGCAGACCCAACAAGCUCCCCACCCCCCAUGCCCUUUGACCUCCCCCAAGAAAGGAAGGACAGGUUGGGUUGGGGGUUGGGGGGACAGCCGUAAAGCCAGUGACCAGAGGGUUCCCUUUUAACUGACUUGGUUUCUGGUGAAGGUGGCUACCAGGGUGGACAAAUGGGUGGGCAGGUCCAGAAGGAGGUGGGGGC